rnacentral:rRNA from 1 species
UACGAAGGGGGCUAGCGUUGCUCGGAAUCACUGGGCGUAAAGCGCACGUAGGCGGAUUGCUAAGUCAGGGGUGAAAUCCUGGAGCUCAACUCCAGAACUGCCUUUGAUACUGGCGAUCUCGAGUCCGGGAGAGGUGAGUGGAACUGCGAGUGUAGAGGUGAAAUUCGUAGAUAUUCGGAAGAACACCAGUGGCGAAGGCGACUUACUGGACACGUAUUGACGCUGAGGUGCGAAAGCGUGGGGAGCAAACAGG